GAUUUUUCAAAUAUGAUAUUUUUAACAUAUUUUUAAAUUUUUAAAUUAAAAAAAAUACUUUAAAUAUAUUUUUAUAAAUAUUUUAUAUUUUUAUGGCAUCAUGCGUGGAAGAAAUUCAUUUUAGAACUGCGUACAUGAGCCGGACUUAGAUAAAAAUUGAAAAGUUGAAGUCGGAUGAAAUCUGGCCCAGGCCCACAUUCUGAACAGGUGUACCAGUGCCAGCAACUACUGCCACCACUUGUUGGCUGUGAAGUGGAGCGUAGUGGCAUUCGUCAUUACUUCAUUUCUCAUCCACUAAAAGUGGAAAAAGUGCCUCAAUAAUUAAGUUUUUAAAGUUAUAUAAUAUAAGCAACUAUUGUUGUGCCACACACUUCAAUUAUUUUUUUACAGGAUCGCUGUUCAAUUUCGUCGGUCAUUCCAUUUUUUCACGUUUUGUAGUAGGAGAAUAUUUGAUUAUGUUAAACUUUGUUUUAUGUACAUUUUUAUAGCUUUAUAAUUUAAUUUGAAUUCUCC
rnacentral:lncRNA from 1 species